GUUCAUAAGAGGAACACAUAAACUAAAAUUGAAAUGAUAGGAAAAGAUUAGCAUGGCCCCUGCACAAGGAUGAUAUGCAUUUCGUGAAGCAUCCAUAUUAAAA